rnacentral:rRNA from 1 species
GACGAACGCUGGCGGCGUGCUUAACACAUGCAAGUCGAACGGAAAGGCUUCUUUCGGGGGGUACUCGAGUGGCGAACGGGUGAGUAACACGUGAGUAACCUGCCCUUGACUUUGGGAUAACUUCAGGAAACUGGGGCUAAUACCGGAUAGGAGCUCCUGCUGCAUGGUGGGGGUUGGAAAGUUUCGGCGGUUGGGGAUGGACUCGCGGCUUAUCAGCUUGUUGGUGGGGUAGUGGCUUACCAAGGCUUUGACGGGUAGCCGGCCUGAGAGGGUGACCGGCCACAUUGGGACUGAGAUACGGCCCAGACUCCUACGGGAGGCAGCAGUGGGGAAUAUUGCACAAUGGGUGGAAGCCUGAUGCAGCAACGCCGUGUGCGGGAUGACGGCCUUCGGGUUGUAAACCGCUUUCGCUCAUGACGAAGCUUUGUGUGACGGUAGCGGGUAAAGAAGCACCGGCUAACUACGUG